ACACCUCAACUCUCACGGUCUCCACCGUGAUGAGCUUGGACUUUGGAGGUCUUGCUGGUCCGCCGUCAGCUCCUCUCAAAUGAAUCAGCUUACCAGUGUUUGGUGGCACCCCAGGUGUGAUAACUAUCUACGCUUGCGGUUUUCCACCAGGUAACCUCCAGCGAUGGAGGUUCGCUGGGGCUCACAAAUGUCUCUCUUCGGUGAGGACAGCUUCUGAAC
rnacentral:misc_RNA from 1 species